GACAGAGGGUGCGACCGUUGUUCGGAAUUACUGGGCGUAAAGCGCAUGUAGGCGGCAGCGCAAGUCGGGCGUGAAAUCCCACGGCUCAACCGUGGAAGUGCACUCGAAACUGCGCAGCUAGAGUCCUGGAGAGGAAGGUGGAAUGCUUGGUGUAGAGGUGAAAUUCGUAGAUAUCAAGCGGAACACCGGUGGCGAAGGCGGCCUUCUGGACAGUGACUGACGCUGAGAUGCGAAAGCGUGGGGAGCAAACAGG
rnacentral:rRNA from 1 species